AGCCUAGCCACCUGCCCAGGAAGAAGAGGAAAUGGGAUCAAUUAUCAUUCACCAGUGCCACACUGUCCAAGCUGGCUUCACAGAAGCCUCAGUUGAGUCAGUGCCAGCCCUACUCUCCUCCCUGGUACUUAAUGGUCUGUCAACAGCAGUGAUGCAGAAGCAAGGGUGCUGGAAUGGAGACAGGAGUCCUAGUGCUGACUGCCACUGGCUGUAUGACUCUGGGAGGAAAAUGCCAUGUGGAGACAGACA
rnacentral:lncRNA from 10 species